ensembl:rRNA 5S_rRNA 5S ribosomal RNA
GUCUACCCCAUACCAUCCUGAACGCGCCCGAUCUCGUCUGAUCUCGGAAGGUAAGCAGGGUCAGGCCUGGUUAGUACUUGGAUGGGAGACCACGUGGGAAUACCGGGUGCUGUAGGCU